UACGGAGGGUGCAAGCGUUGUCCGGAUUUAUUGGGUUUAAGGGGUGCGUAGGCGGUUAAUUAAGUCAGUGGUGAAAUCCUGGAGCUCAACUUCAGAACUGCCAUUGAUACUGGUUGACUUGAGUACAGACGAGGUUGGCGGAAUUGAUGGUGUAGCGGUGAAAUGCAUAGAUACCAUCAAGAACACCGAUUGCGAAGGCAGCUAACUAGGCUGUAACUGACGCUGAGGCACGAAAGUGUGGGGAUCAAACAGG
rnacentral:rRNA from 1 species